CGCGGCCUAUCAGCUUGUUGGUGAGGUAACGGCUCACCAAGGCGACGACGGGUAGCUGGUCUGAGAGGACGAUCAGCCACACUGGGACUGAGACACGGCCCAGACUCCUACGGGAGGCAGCAGCAGGGAAUCUUGCGCAAUGGGGGAAACCCUGACGCAGCGACGCCGCGUGCGGGAUGGAGGCCCUAGGGUCGUAAACCGCUUUCAGCAGGGACGAAAUUGACGGUACCUGCAGAAGAAGGCCCGGCUAACUACGUGCCAGCAGCCGCGGUAAUACGUAGGGGCCGAGCGUUGUCCGGAAUCAUUGGGCGUAAAGAGCUCGUAGGCGGCUUGGUAAGUCGGAUGUGAAAUCUCCACGCUCAACGUGGAGCGGCCAUUCGAUACUGCUAUAGCUAGAGUCCGGUAGGGGAGUGUGGAAUUCCCAGUGUAGCGGUGAAAUGCGCAGAUAUUGGGAGGAACACCCGUAGCGAAGGCGGCACUCUGGGCCGGUACUGACGCUGAGGAGCGAAAGCAUGGGUAGCAAACAGGAUUAGAUACCCUGGUAGUCCAUGCCGUAAACGUUGGGCACUAGGUGUGGGACCCUAUCGACGGGUUCCGCGCCGUAGCUAACGCAUUAAGUGCCCCGCCUGGGGAGUACGG
rnacentral:rRNA from 1 species